UAUCGUGUAACUCCCUCAUUCUUCUCCUCCUAUACAGAAUAUAUUUUUGGAUCCCCAAUCUCCAAUGCAAUUAGCCUUUUGCUCCAGCAAAAUUAAAUAAAGACGAGGAGGAGGAAAAUGAGGCAGUUUAGGGCUUGAUUUCUCCUAGGGUUUAAUCAUAAGCGCUUUUUGCUCCAAGCAAAUCUAAAAGGAAAACGAAGAGAGGAGAAAAUGCGGGAGUUUACGGCUCGAUUUCGCCAAAGGGUUUAAUCAAAAGCACUAUAUGUGAUCAAAUUACCUUAUGAAUUUUACCAAUGCCCAUACCAUAAGUAAGGAUGUCCUGCUCGAUCUGGUGGUUCUACUCAGCCUGUGAUGUCUCAAGUAAAAGUGAAUUUCUCCUAUCACUAAAGACAAUGUACCUGAGUCCCCAAUAGCCCUGUGGUGAUAACAACUAUUCUAUUUUAUGUCUUCAUGAGUUUUGAAUACAUACAUCACUGAUUGAAUCCAUAACAAGGCGAAAGCUCAUGAAAUUGUGAAGUUGAUUAGUGAGAACGGGCAUUUGAAGUCUGCUACUAUGGACUUGCAAAUAAAGAAUAUAAAAUUUGAAGAACCUGUACGUGAGGAAAGUGCUGAGCAAGUUGUACAAGGAUCUUAUGUACAUCUAUAGAUCAUUUUCUCUCUUUUAGGCAGUCAUAAAAAUGAUGUUAUCCCAUGUGGAUUGGCCUAGUUAAUUGUAUUAACAAAGAAAUUUUAUAUAAAUAUUAUGUCUUUAAUUUAUUUUUGGAUGUGUUA